UAUGCUUGGCUGGCUUCCCCCUCAGCCUCAUUCUCCUUCUGCCUUUUCUGAGUGCACUGCCUCACUCUUUUUCCAGUUAGAAAUCUGAACUUUCAAAGAGAGGUUCCAAGAAUCAGCCACUUGGCCACAGAAAGUGGGAUGAGCUGCAAGUACCCUGGAAAAGGGAAACAUGUGAACCAAGGAUGCCAGGAGGGACACAACAAUUUUGAAAUUAGGCCAAUUGAUAACACUACAAUGGCUUCAAGAGAAAGGAAGAGUCACCUCUCUUCUUAUAAAUGAAAAGCUAGAAUAAUGAAGCAUAGUGAGGAAGACAUGUUGAAGCUGAGACAGACUGAAAGUUAGGCCUCUUGUGUCAAAUGUUUAGCCAAGUUGUGAAUGUAAAGGAAAAGCUCUUGAAGAAAAUUGAAAUUCCUCAACAGUGAAGCUAAGAAUGAUAAAGAAGAGAAAUAGCCUUAUUACUAAUGUGGAGAAAGUUCUAGUGGCCUGGAUAAGGAUCAAAUCAGCCACAACAUCCCCUUAAGAGGCAAAGCCUAACGCAAGGUAGGGCCCUCACUCUCUUCAAUUCCAUGAAGGCAGAGAGAAGCAAGGAAGCUGCAGAAGAAGAGUCUGAAGUUAGCAAGGUUUGAUUCACAAGGUUUAAGGAAAGAAGUGGUAACAUAAAAGCACAAAGUGAAGCAGCAAAUGCUGAUGUAGAAGCUGCAGCAAGUUAUCUGGAAGAUCUGGCUAAGAUAAUUAAUGAAGGUGGUUACACUGAACACAGAUUUUCAAUGUAGAUGAAACAGUCUUACAUCAGAAGAUUGACAUCUAGAACUUACAUAGUUUGAGAGAAGUCAAUGACCGACUUCAAAGUUUCGAAGGACAGGCUGACUCUCUUGUUAGAGGCUAACACUGAUGGUGACUUUAAGUUGAAAUCAAUGCUCAUUUACCAUCCUGAAAUCCUAGAAACCUUAAGAAGUAUGCUAGAUCUAUUCCACCUGUGCUCUCUAAGUGGAUCAACAAAGCCUAGAUGACAGCAAUUUGUCAACACCAAAAUCUCAUGAACAUUUGCAAUAAAACUAAGUGAUAUUGUGUUCCUAUAAUCCCCACAAUACAAACAGAUGAGGAUAAGCCAAUUGUCAUAGAACCUAUGGUGACAUCUGCAAGGGAGGAAGGACCUAUUUGGAGGAAUCUUAGAACAGAAUUCCUAAAAAGCCAAUGAAAAACCUCUGGAGAACAAGCCAACCAAUUAGAGAGCAGUAGCUCACCUCAAUGCCAGUGAGUGCAAAGCCUCCCAGUAAGAUUCCAAGAGGUAGAAUGGCAUAGUCAGUGGUGUGCUGUUUAACUACUUAAAAACUCUGUUUGCGUUAUUUGCCAGUUCCCAUGGUGUAAAUGUUCCCAUCAUGGCUCACUGCAUGCUACCAACAUGGAUAAAAAGUUGGGAAGAGAGAUAACCCAAUCCAUACUUCUAAGAUGUGAGCUAGCCAUGAGCACUGAGAAGGAUCAGAGCCCUUUUCCAGGAGUGGUGGCAUACUGACUAGAAACUAGUGGAAUCAAAACUGAGAAAGACAAGGGUAACAGAAACAAGGGGAAAAGAGGCAGAGAUAAAAACUUGGGAAUGGAAGAAAGCCAGGAAAUCUCAUAGAGCAAGCUGCCAUAUUUUUUAACAGUGAAGGGAAAACAAGAGGGAGCUCUGCAGAGUUUGAAAAGCUACUCUGAACCACACUACCUUCUAAAAGCUCAGGAAAACUAACAUCGCAUAAAAAUGAGCUAUAGAAGAUCAACCAUAGGCAAAACACAGAAAGAACCCAAAUGUUCAUCAACUGAUGAAUGGAAUAUUAUUCAGCCAUCAAAAAGAGUGAAAUCUUGCCAUUUGCAAUGACAUGGAUGGAGCUGGAGUAUUAUUAUCCUAAGUGAAAAAAG